ACAUGAGUCUAUUAAUGAUAAACCCUCCUAAGGGGAAGGCCACUGGUUCGACUCCAGUAGGGAGCGCCA
rnacentral:tRNA from 1 species